UUUCCGUAGGUGAACCUGCGGAAGGAUCAUUAUUGUAUAACCGAGGUGCGAGGGCUGUCGCUGACCCGAAAGGUCGUGCACGCCCGAGUGCCCUCACACGCAUCCAUCUCACCCCUAUGUGCACCACCGCGUGGGUCCCCCUUUGGCUUGUUCGGAGGGGGGCUUACGUUUUCACACAAACUUUGUAUGCAGUGUAGAAUGUAUUUUUUGUUUUUGCGAUCACGCAAUCAAUACAACUUUCAACAACGGAUCUCUUGGCUCUCGCAUCGGUGAAGAACGCAGC
rnacentral:misc_RNA from 1 species